UACGGAGGGAGCUAGCGUUGUUCGGAAUUACUGGGCGUAAAGAGCUCGUAGGUGGUUUGUCGCGUUGUCCGUGAAAACUCACAACUCAAUUGUGGGCGUGCGGGCGAUACGGGCAGACUGGAGUACUGCAGGGGAGACUGGAAUUCCUGGUGUAGCGGUGGAAUGCGCAGAUAUCAGGAGGAACACCGGUGGCGAAGGCGGUGGUCUGGGCCGGCACUGACGCUGAGGAGCGAAAGCGUGGGUAGCAAACAGG
rnacentral:rRNA from 1 species